CACCAUGCCUGCGAACGACUCCUGAUAUUCUCCACAUACUUCAAGAAUAACGAUGAUAUUAUUAAAACUUUCACUGAAAAUUAAAACAAAACACUAUAAGAUUAAUAUAUAUCCUACACUAACAUAUAAACAUACCCUUUGUAAAUUUAAUACAUUUUUACAACCAACGUAAAACUAGACAAACUGGAUAAAGGCAAGAACUAUCCCGAGUCCUGCCUCUGACUCCAACCUCGACCAAGAAGAUCACCACGUCUAGGAUUGCAACCACAGUGAACCAGAUAACUAUCUAUAUCACCUCACCUGCCAAAAAGGUCGUGUGGGUGUGGAGCUAAUAAUCAAUGGCUCACAACAGAUAAUCAAACUCAUAUGAAAUGAUAUAGAAACACCAUCCAGCAUAGAUAUCCAGCAAUGAAUAAUACCAACGAUAAAUAAUGUCAAUGCAUAAUGCAUCACCCACAUGUGCGCGCAAGUUUAGAUAACGUUGGCCCAAAUAUCGACGGCUUGUUAUCAAGGAAUGCCCCUACUAGUCACAUCCCUUAGGAAUGCCCCUUCUGGUCACAUCCCUAGGCAAAGUCCCUCAUGACUAAGCCUUCCUCCGGUGCAAUGCAAACACACAAGAUAAAUGAUAUGCAUUGCCACAUCACUUCAUAGAUAUAAUCAUCAUCACCAAUCGUAUAAAAUGCACGCAAUUCAAUAUGAAUAAGACUAUCUGUAUUUAAUUUUCCCACCUGUUACCAGCAUACCAAUUGAGUCACUCCUCUCGUUAAACCAGAGUAAUUUGAUCCGCUUUAUCACCUAUAAGAAAAAUAAUUUCACAUAAUUAAUCCAAUCCUAUAAUUGUAUAAUCUAGCCGAUGGAUUCGCAUAUUUAGAUUCUGACCAUCAUUCUAACUUUCGAAUUUGUCCAAACUGACCCCAUAUUUAGAUUCAGAACACUGAAAAACAUAAAAAACGACUAUUCACACGGCCAAAAACUCGUCCGAUUAACCGAUUUUAAAAUAAGGUGCACGAUAACUCCUAUAGGCGCGACACACUGGAUAAUUUCCAGUUUGGUGGAAGCCAUUAAUACACAGGAAGCUUCGGCUCUCUCUCUGUUUGUUUCAAUUUCAACUGGUUGCGCGCACGCACACAUACGCACAUACACAUAUACACACAAUAUAUAUAUAUAUAUAUAUAUACAUGCUUAUUUAUUUAAAUACUCUUCAAAAUCAACUUUAUUAAUAAUAUUCUCAAUUUAUUUUCAAAUCAAUUUCUCGUCUCCACCUUCAUCUUUUACAAUUUUUUAACCUUAAAAAAUUUUCUCAUACCCACUUUCAACUAAAUAGUCUAAAUUCAAUUGGUUCAUAAACAUAAUUUCUUAUUUAUCCACAUGAUUAAAAAUCUCACAUAUUAGGAUUCUUCAAUACCUAAUUUACUCCAAAUAAAAUUAAUAAAUAGAGAUAAGAGACUCACCUUCCAAUUUGUAUUUUCCAUUUUCGGUUCUCCUCCUUUCUCUUCUUUCUUCUUUCCCUCUUUGUUUUCUCUUUUCUCUCGUCUCUCACGGUCUCACCUCUGUUUCUUUCUUCUACUUCUUAAUUUAAACAUGUAAAUAGAUAGAUAAAUAUACAUGCACCAUAUAUAUCUCAUACUAUUACACGUGUUUACAAGGAAAUAGAAAAGGGCAAGUGUCCAUGGUAAUUUAAUUUUGUGUUGGUUGAAAUACACUUUUGCCAUAUAUGAGAGAGAAGAGCCACAGGAGUUGACAUAUGUAAAAUGCACCACCCAUAAAACUCGUUAUUAACAAUGAUGUAGAUCCUGGACAACGUAAUCAAUAAUAUAAAAUUAAUCAUUAAUCAUUAAAAAAUUAAAAGACGGGUUCACAAACUCUCCCCGCCUUAAAGAAUUUCGCCCCGAAAUUCGUUCCAAGCUUUUGUGGUAGAAAUAUUACUCACAAUCUCAUAUAAUCUAGCUCUCCUAAGUCGUCACUUCGAUUUAGAAUUUCUUCAUUCAAUUUUCACAAACCUAGAUCCAUAUAAAUUGAAUUCUCACCUAUCCUAUUUCACAAAAGAAAUCACCCAAAUACGAUUUAAGAAUGUUUCCUCAGUAACCACACAAUACAGGAUCAUGCACCGAGUACUCAAGCCCUCAAUAUUAAUAAUAGUAUUAAUUCCAAUUUAUUUCACAAUUUCUAAAUCCAUUAUGCCAUCGACUAACUAAUGCUCUUGCUAAACUUUAUGCCAUUUACUACAUUGAUACUCUAUCCCCGCUACAAACUCGAAUAUUUUGUAUGUCCUUUCAUUAUCACCUAGCUUGUUUUUUUUUGGAAAAUUAAACUAUUUGUAAAUUCCAGACAGUUUCAAUUUCUCUCACAUCACUCUAAUACACAAGUGUCAUACAUCUCUAAUAUAUAAAGCUCUAAAAUGUCAUAUCAAAGCGAUCUGAUAAUUGCAAACUCAAUUACAAUAUUCAACUCAAACUAUCUUUGAAGUACAAUAGAAAAAUAACAUAUCACACCCUUCAAUAUCUACAUAAUUCCUCUGUGACUGCCCAUCCCAAAACAUCAAGCGUGCUGGCAAUGCCUACUCAUUGCCAACCAAGAUCUCACUGUUAAUAUAAGUUAUGGAAAGUUGCACCAUAUGUCAACAUGUACUCCACAGUCAUCAAGUCAUCAAUGAGAUAUAUACUUAUAAACACUUUUCAUCAUAUAAUGUUUGAAAUCCCCCUAAGCUCACACAUAGGUUUUUCACCAAAUGAUUUAUAAAUCACCCACCAUUAAAUGUAAAUCGUCUGUAAUACAAUGUAUGAUACAACACAAUAAAGAGCUGUUUUAUAUAUAUCAAAAAUGUCCACCGGCCCUCUUAGGCUAGUCCACCGUGAAUAAGCCUUAGGUUAGCCCCGUGGUCUCCUUUAACCAAUACUAUGCAAUUUAGGCACACAAAUGAAUGUCAGCAAUAUCACUCAUAACUCAACGAUCAAUUCCCAUAAUAUAAUGUUAUCGCAAGUCGGGGACACACCAACAUCAACCCCAAUAUCGACACCACAUCAUCACCAAUAUGGAAUGCAAUAUCAAUAUCAUAUAGAUACAAUUCAAUAUGAGGAUAAGUCACGUACCACUCUUGUCAAUAUACGCAUAUGAAAUAAAUUGAUUCAAACUAUCACGGAGACAUGUCUUCCCUUGAGUAGUAGUGAAUAGUACAACUAUAGUUUUUUAAUUGAUUUCACUCAACACAUAUGCCUUAGAGCAUAAAACAAUAAUUUUCCUCACUUACAAUAGUACACAUCCUAAAAUUUGAUGAUGGGACACUAUGACUCUAAAGUUACAAAGCCUGUCUACAGUCACAACAUAGCCAACACAAGAGCUUGAAACCCAAUUUAGUUUCACUACGAAACUUUCUAUUAUCAAAUAUUCAAAUACCCCCAAUUUAAUGUUCUCAUCAAUCAUUUGUGCCACAUGUAUCACAGUAGUAAUUCUUUUAUCACGACGAAACAAAUCUUAAAAAUAUAACAAUAUUUAUCUAAACGUCAACGUAUCAAUCCAAGCAAUUAUUCUAGCCAUAUUUCCUCACAUAUUACCAACAAUAGUUCAUCUCGCAAAGUCAAGUCUAAGAUCCCACUCUUAAAUUCAAAGAUACUAAGAUCCUAUUAUCAAAUGUUAGAUCAUACUCCUCAAACAAACCCUUUGUAAUUCAAUAUCAAAGAAAUGAAUAAACAAUUUUGUAUCCAUUCAAAUAAUACAACUCUAACUAACCAAAUACCUAUAUAUUCUUUUACGAUCAUCUCCAAUUUUCAAUAUCAACUCAUAAUCUCAACACAGUGUCAGAAAUUGCAAUGUAUAAUUAUCACCAAGUCACCUUCAACUCGCUUGAUAUAAAUAAUCAGUCUACUUACAAAUCUCCAAAAACUUCAUGAAUUUACUUCAGAAGUCUACGCCACCAUAAAUGUUAAUCAUCAUCUGUCACACGUGUCAUACAACUAAACUUUUCAAUACCACAUUAACCAACCUAAAAGGCAGUUCAUUUUACUCCCAUUAUUGAUAAAUUCCAAUCAUCUCCAAAAUUAACAAUAAAACUCAACCAUAUUUCUAUCGAAUAGACCUCAAUUCCACAUUAAAAAAUUUUCAAAAACUUGGUAGAGUCACAUGAUCCAGAACUCUUUCACUUAAAAUUGUUUACUCUCAACCAUCUAUGCUCACAAGGGAAACCACCAAUAGGUCUUACCACUAUUCAAACCAAAUCAAACAAUAACACAUCUCGUACCACAUCAUCUCUCUCCCAACCAAAACUACAACACAUAUAUAACAAUAACUUCAAACAUCAUUCCAUAAGUAUAAUUAAGGGUUCUCCACCCUUCAAACAAUACAAAUAGAAUACCCAGAUUAAUCAUCUCUUUCAAGGAUUUUAGACAUAGUCACAAGGAUAACUCAAUGAGAAGCGGAUAAUGUUGGGUUACCAAAGUAAAAUUCAAAGAAAUCAGAGAAGGGCAAUUAGGAAAACUUAAACUAGAUAUCUGAAUUGAAAAUUGCAUCGGCCAACCAAAUGGCACUUCAAACACAAACAUCCAGGUCAGUCACCACCAACAAGGACUCAGAAAACAAAUUAAAGAUAGUCAACGAAUCACUCUUUUACUACGAUGAUCAGCAAUCAAAAAAAUCUCACCCACUAACCAUACUCAGACCAACUAGAAUCUCACUCAACCAAUGGCACAAGAAUCAAUAACGUACACUGUGACUUAUAGAGUGCGAUUUCGCACUUAUAUCGCUUGAAUCUGAUAUUAUGAUAUGAUAAUCCAUCACUAUUCUCAACUUAGAAUAUUAUCGCAACAACGAUACUCAAAUAAGAUGAAACACAUGCAUACUAUCAAUAUUCUUUACUUCUCACAAUCUAUAAUCCCCCAUUCACUAAGUAUAAUUUAAACAACCUCAUCAGACUCAAACGACACCACUGCCAAUGGUCCACUGCAAAUACCAACCAUCAAAAACCCAAGUCUACACAAAUUACCAAGAAGAAUCAAAUCCAAUUCUAUAAUUUUUUUUUCCCUAGUUUCAAUACACAGUCCGUUUAUACCACUUCCUAACACUAUCUUUGAGUGUAACACAAAUAAAUAUUGUGUCAUAGAUGUUCCGAUUUAUAUAAUGCUCACUGAUUCAUAACAUAUUCCCGAUACCUAAAUCCCAUGGUUCAAGGGUACUUUCCAUGUCACAAGGGAAAUGGUCGUGAUAAACACAUCUUCUCAUUUUCACUAAAUGGUUUCUAUUUGUUUUCAUGCCAUUCUCUCUGCAUCAAUUUAUAGUAAGUACACAACUAUAGGACCCACAUCACCCCAUACUACUUAAGCAGAUACAAACACCCUAUGGUUCACUUGCAAUCCGAUAAACACCCAACGCCAACACCAUAGCCUCAGCUAUAUACCUUGAUUAAAACCACAGCUCUAGAUGACCAAGCUGUCACACCCCCAACCUAAACCAACAUAAUUAAUGCUUAAUAGGUGGGAUGUUGAUCGCACAGGCCACCAUGCCCUUUGUAAAUUUAAAACAUUACCCUUUUGUUAAAUUUAAUACAUUUUUACAACCAAAGUAAACUAGACAAAAUGGAUUAAAGGCAAGAAUAGCCCGAGUUCCUGCCUCUGACUUCCAAACCUCGACCAAGAAGAUCACCACGUCAGGAUUGCAACCACAGUGAACAGAUAAACUAUCUAUAUCCACCUCACCUGCCAAAAAAGGUCGCUGUGGGUCUGUGAGCUAAUAAUCAACGUGCUCACAACAGAUAAUCAAAUCAUAUGACAAUGAUAUAGAAACCCACCCAUCCAGCAUAGAUAUCCAGCAAAUGAAUUAAUACAAACGAGAAAUAAUGUCAAUGCAUAAUGCAUCACCCACAUGUGCGCGCAAGUUUAGAUACCGUUGGCCCAAAUAUCGACGACUCGUUAUCAGGAAUUGCCCCUACUUGGUACAUCCCUUAGGAAUGCCCCUUCUGGUCACAUCCAUGGCAAAAGUCCAUCAUGGACUAAGCCUUCCUCCAAAUGCAAUGCAAAGCACAACAAGAAAAUUGAUAUGCAUUGCCACAUCACUUCAUAGCAAUAAUCAUCAUUAACCAAUCGUAUAAAAAUGCACGCAUUCAAUAGAAUAAGAUAUCUGUAUUUAAUUUUCCCACCUGUUACCAGCAUACAAUUGAGUCACUCUCUCGUUAAACAAGAGUAAUUUGAUCAGCUUUAUCACAUAUAAGAAAAAUUUUAAUUUCACAUAUUAAUCCAAUCCUAUGAAUUGUAUAAUCUAGCCGAUGGAUUCGCAAUAAAUGCUAUUCAAUUAUAACCUAGUCAAAUUUUCAAGGGCGGAUCGGACAGUUUACACCGUGUGAUGUACUAAUACGCUCAUUAUCACAUCGAUAACCACUUAUUCAAGUACGUCAUUCUGGACUUUUGAAUUUGUCCCAAACGGGACCCCCACAUAUUUAGAUUCAGAACACUGAAAAAAAUAAAAAAGACCUAUUUACCGGCCAAAAACUCGUCCGAUUAACCGAUUAAAAUAAGGUGCACGAUAACUCCUAGAGGCGCGGACACAAUGGAUAAUUUCCAGUUUGGGGAAGACAGUAAUACACAGAGCUUCGGCUCUCUCUCUCUGUUUGUUUCAAUUCAAAACUGGUUGCGAGCACGCCACACAACGCACAUACACAUAUAACCACAUAUAUAUAUUAUAUACAUGCUUAUUUUUUAAAUACUCUUCAAAAUCAACUUUAUUAAUAAUAUUCUCACUUUAUUUUCAAAUCAAUUUCUGCGUCUCCACUUCUCUCUUUACAUUUACUAAUUUCUCA
rnacentral:lncRNA from 1 species